rnacentral:lncRNA from 1 species
GUUGAUGUAUUUUGGCAGCUGCUCCUGCUUUGCGGGUUGAGGGGGACAGGACGACCCGUGGAAGGAUGGUGUGUGAAAAGUGUGAAAAGAAACUCGGCAGGGUUAUCACUCCAGACACAUGGAAGGACGGGGCCCGGAACACCACAGGUACUGCUUGCCAGUAGGAAACAGGAGCUGGAUCAAGUGCUUGUGGACACAGCUCUAGGGCUUCACUGUUUGCAGAGUGCAGUGUUAGAUGAUGACUCUCUCGUCCAUUAAACACAAAGAGGACCGGAUUCCCCUGUGAAUUCAUAUCUUUUUCAUCAUCUGAGUUUCAUGAAUGGAUUCCUCAUAUAGAGAGUCAAGAAGGAGUCAAAUUAUUAUUUCAGUGUAUUUUAUUUGAUUCAGCUUAAUAAAGUCUGUAUUUAAAUUUC